rnacentral:misc_RNA from 1 species
UGAUUUGAGCCCCUAGUAUUGCCUACC